CCCGAGUUUUACUUUCUGGUUCACCAGCCUCCAGUGCUGUAAAGGUAACUGAGAAACCGGCCCCAGGCCCUGUUGAGGGCCCACAAGGCCAUUAGAAGUCCAGCAACUCAGACCUGAGUUAGGAAGCUUUACUAUUUCCCCUGUCUUCUGUAAAUAGCCCCUUGAUCAUUUUCUGGUCCAAGCCUGAUUUCUCUUUGCCUGACUGUCGGGAAAAUGUGAAACAUUUUCUGCAGCUCAGGUCUUGCAGGGCCAGGCAAAAGUCAGCAGAGGUAAUCCUGCUCUUCAGUAUAUUUUAGUGUAUGAUUUUUUUUUAAAAAGAUGAGUCAGAAGGAGAUAUUUCUCUGAAGAAAAAAGCCACCAAAGAAUACACUGUGUCCUGGGAGCUCCUUUCCCCUAUGGCCAGUCCUAAGAGCCAAGUGCAUCCCUGGCGUUCUCAGAACAAGGAGGACAGCAGAAUGUGAUUCCCACACACUCCCUGAGCCUGCUAGACCUAAGCCUUGUAGGACAUUCUGCCUAGAAACUCUGCACAAACUACACUUGUUCUAAGGGCCAUGGCUUUCCACUCUCCUGCCCCUUGACUUGCUGAAGCACCUGCAUGCACCUGGAAGUCAUGCUGCAGCCAGAGAAAGGAUCCACGAUUCUGUGGUUGUAAAAAGUGAAUGGAGUCAGAAAACCACCUUCUACACAGAAAAGCCCAGGCUCCUCAAUUUAGAAUUCACUGUGGCAGUACUGUUCCUGACAGGUCUCAAAGCACUUUGCCCUACAGCCUGCUGAGCCUACUGAGCCACACUCUGUGACAGUUUUAUCCCUCUCUGGAUGAAAACACUGGGGUUCAGAGAGGUAGCAAUCCAAUCAUCUGUCAUCUCUCUGCUUUUCUUCCAAUCUCCCACAGAGUAAGGCAGCAAGCAAUUGAGGGACUGGAGUGCUCAGGCCCACAGACCCCCAAGUAGAGGCUGGACCAUCAGAACUCCUGGCAGAGGCUCAGUGUAAAGCCGUUUAGCUUUUCCAUUUGCUGAGUUUCUUCCCUCCCACUGAUAACUCAUCCAAGUGAAGGAAACAAAAGCAGAGUGACGUCAUCUCCAGGGCCCCAGCUGCCAGAUUCUUCUGCAGAUCUGCAGCCAUCCUGACCUGUCCUAAAGGACCGGCCCCUGCAGCUGGCCUGGGGCCAGCCCAGAGGGAGCCUCUGUGAGCCAGUGCAGACCAGCCCAGGGACAUUCCCAACCAACCAGAAAACCCGGCUGGGGAGCACAUUCCUAGAAGAGCCUGCCACAUUGCAAGCCAGGGCCCAGCCUCCAGGGAAUGGGCGAGUGGGAGCCACUCCAAAGGGCACUCCUCAGUUUUGUCCCGUUGGGACUUCCUUCUUGUCCCAGAAGGAGC
rnacentral:lncRNA from 1 species